GGGCAAUUUGUUUUUCUAAAUUGUAGCAGAGACAAGAGCAGUCCACGGCCCACGGCCCACGCACACCUGACGGCCGACAGGUCCGAGAUUAGCUCGCCGACCUCACUCCAUGUCGUCCUCACUCCAUGUCUCAUCGCACUCACAGUACUCGCUGGCUCUCCGUCCCUCCCGACGCCCCCCACCCACCGCCGUCGACCGGACCCCCGCUGUCCUGCCUCGCCGCCGAUGGCCUAGACGACAACCUCCUCCGUCCUCUUCGUCCAGGCGACCGGAAGCCAACGGAAGGCCAGGGCACCCAGCGGGAGGGGCAAAAGGAGGUGGAUGGGCGGUCCCCGUCUCCACUGGAUCCGCAGACGCGGCCACCCGCCUUCUCCAUUGCCGAUUCCGUGCCACAUCGCCACCCUGCACGCGAGACCGCCGCGCUUCCCUGUCCGCCACCGCCUGUGCCGCGCGAGCUCGCCCCCGAUUAGGUCGCUGCACGCCGCCUGUGUCGCGCGAGCCCGCCCCCGUUAGGUCGGCAUCCACCACUGGAGCAUUCCUGCUGCCGCAGCCGCGCGAUCCCGGCUUCCACGGGAGGGAUACAUCCUCAACACCGGAGAAGCGAGGCCACGCCCUCAACUCUUGGGAAUCGCCGGAGAAUAGUUGGGGAAUCGAGGCUGCUCUCCACGCCGCCGACACCCUGCCUCCACAUCGACCGGCCCCCUCCUCGAAGCCCUGCCUCCAUGCCUUGUCCCGUCUGCAAUUGCGUUGCGCCCUCCAUCAGAGAAUAAGAUGUCCUGAAGCCCAGGAUAUUUUCGUCUUCCUCGCACGUGUGCCCAGGAACUAAAUUAGAGACUUGGGGUUUUAAUGGUGUUGAUGUCAUAAGGAAAAGUAAACAACAGGUGCGCUCAAGAUUGAACUGUCAAGAUCAGAGUAUGAUGCUUCCUCUCUGACUUUCGGUGUUGGCUUCAACCAAAAUUCCUAUUCAGAAGUAGGCAUGAAAAUCUCUUUUGAAGUACGAAUAGGACAAAAUCUCUCUCAGAAUGCAAUCGGACCGGAUAGUUGGUGACGAUUACGCCAAGCUUCU